AGCAAAUGACAUUAUUCUUUAAAAAAUUACAUUUAUGUAAUAUUGUCAUAUAUAUAUAUAUAUAUAUAUAUAUAUAUUUCUUAACCACUAUUCCCAUUAAUAUUUCCCUACUGUUUUUCUUUUAGGAGGCUUGGUGAGCAGGGCUACAUUUCUUACUCAUCACUAGUUUUAGGAACUCUUUCCCUGACUUUGAUUUGUUUUUUAUCACAUCAGAGCAGCACGUUGCUGAACAGCAAGAAAGGAGUAAAGAAAACAGCUCUAACGAAUAAGAGUGAUUCUUCUAUAUGCAUUUUUGGUAGCCCUGAUUCCACCGAAAUUCUAUUUUGAUUUUCUCAUUCAAUAGCAAUACAACGUUUUCACGACUAUCUCUCACAUACACACACACACACACACACACACACACACACACACUCCACCCGCUCCCCCCCCCCCCAAGCUGCCAGUCUGUCUUAAGGCAGUGGCAGACGCCUGAUUGGCGGGCUCUGUUUAUUCUGUGACCAGAUUCCUCCUAAAAGAAGGCAGGCCAUGAGUGCCUGAAGCCUAUUGGUCGGGCCUGCUCUGGACCCUCCCCUUCUUUUUCAUGGCACACACCACAGAGAAGUCUGUGCGGAAUCCUAAACCAGCCCAAUUUACAUCCAUUCAUGAAUCUGUGACGUCAGCAAGCCUUUGGGCUUCUUUGCGGUGGGCUGGAGGAUUGUGUGGGUGGAAUCCCCCUCCCCCUUAUUUUUCUGAUUCUGCAAGGCUUUUUAAAUUAACCUUCCACCUUUUUAAAGCAAGAAAAUGGAACGGCAUGUGUAGGAAUUCUUCAUUGUUUUCCCUUCUAGUAAAUACUAGCUUUGACUUCUCAUGAAUCAAAAGAUCCAAGCAGUCAGUUGCCAUCAGGGUGCCGGAGCCAAAUCUGGGCAGGGAGAGAGGAAUGGAGAGGGCAAAAGACAGAGCAGAGCUGGUGGGGCUCCCUGUGUUCCUUGUUUCCACAUACCAGCUUCUUCGCUGUGCGGUGGCAGUGCGUGGGCGUACGCAUACACACAGGUAAAAUUUAGAUAUUUUUCUCCUCCUACACUCUUCUUAAAUGUAGUCAGCUCUGAUCAUAUUUUAAGAGAGUCAUGGUGAUGAUUUUUUCCCCUUUUGUUCUUGUGCCUCCAUCUCCGCCUAUGUUGGUGGAGAUUGGAUCUGCUAUUCUUAGUGAACAGAGGGAAGCCUCUUGGACUACACACAACUUUAUACACGCUUUGAGGUGUCUCUCGCCCCUGUCCCCUUCCAGAGCACUGCUGAGUUGCAGUAGCUGGAUGGCCUUCCACUGUUCUGUAGACUGGGGCAGUCACUCCUCUAGGUGGGUACUUGUGUUUCCUUGGGAGUGGCUCUAGGGCAUCGAGAAUAACCCUGUGAAUUACUACUGUUUUUUCAUCAGUAGUCAUGAUAUCAUAGCUAUUUGUUUCUCUUUGUCUGUGUCAACAAACAACCGGACCAGAGAAAGAGUAUAGCGUGAGGAGAGGACUCAUCCUACUCUGCCGCUGAUGAGCGGUUGUAUCGAGCAAGUCAGCAAUAACCUAUGAAUUUGAAUUUGGACCUAUGAAUGUGACCGCAGAGGUAAAGCAAGUGGGUUGGACGAUAUUCCUGGAUAAAUAUCAAACCGAGUGUGAUGAGUGUGCUGAAAUCGUCUUCCUUUAACUCAUUACCUGUACCCGUGGGCACAACUCUACUUCACGUGCAUCCUUAACCUCCUAGAAAGAGGAAGAGAUUACAAAACAAACUCAUCUUUUCCUAACUUUUUGGUAUGAGCUCAUUCCAGUAUGGUGUCAUUAGGGAGAAACUCAGGAUAAAAAUGGACAAAAUGGAAAUUUAUCAGGAAUUAACAUAAAGUCCUAGAGUUUGAUUCAAAGAACAAAUUGCACAAAUAGGUGUUUGGCUGGAAUUCACAUACACUUUUGGGUAUUUGCAUUAUCCUCAAGUUUGCUGUGAGCCAAAAGCAUAAUGUACACCCUGUGCUGUACAGAGUAGCCACGAGUCCCGACAGCAAAGGCAGAUUGGAAGGAACUGCUGAGGCAGGGGCCAGGUCAGAUAGUAUCAAGUCAGCAGUCUUAAAAGACCUCAGGCAGAGCAACAUAGGAAAGGCCAAAGACAGGAGAGCUCAAGGUUGUGGCAGGAGAUCAGCCAGAAAGCAAAUGAAGGGAUCAGCACUGUCAGAGCUGAGAGAUCAGCGUGAAAGGAAUGGGGUGGGGAGGACGGGGUGAGGGAAAUACCGGUCAAUUCAGCAAGUAGCUAUUGCGGUAGCAGAGGGCUCUGGCUAGUAUUUUCUUUUCAAUUGUGCCUGCCUCCGGCCUUCUAUUCCCAGGCAACUUCCUAGCCCCUAUAUUAUUGCAUGCCCGAGAAUUCAAGUCCCCCCUAACCUAACCUCAUCCCACCCAACUUUGUCUCUCUGAUUUGCUUAAAGGGAAAAACCAUCUGCGCUAUUUCAUAGGGUUUCAGAGCCCCUAUAAGCAGGUAAGGCAUUGCUGUUACUGCUCCUGACAGUAGCUGGCUGCUUCACUAUUUCUGAGUUACCAGCCUUCUCACACAUGCCCUGGUGGUUUCUGCUUGCGUCUGCUAAUGCUCUCAGCCUCCCUGACUUCCUUCCUUUGGUGGGUCUCAAAUCAUCUUCCUCUCGAAGGUUCAUCUCAAGUCCUACCUCUUUCAUUCAGCCUGAGUGAGCCACUCCAGUCCGCAUUACCGUCUGCCCUCUGCACAACUCUGGGUAACAGAACACCUCUCUGGAGGCCUUAGUUUCUGUGAAGACUAGGCAUCAUGAUUCCAUGCCCUGACUUCUUGCACAGGGAUCAAAUGUUUAGGUCAAGAUCAUAGCCCACAGCACUUUUUUAACCCGUGAAGCACCCUGAGGAAGCAAAAAUUGUUGUAAGAGGUGCUUUGGUGUUACAAAAAACCACAAUGGAAUUUGGCGAUCUGAAUUUUGAGUUCUGUUUGUAUUUCUGCUCUACCACUUACCCAGUUGAUGACCUUAAAAAGGUUUUUAUUUCUUUGUAAAAUGAGAAUGACACUAUUACAAGGAUUACAGUGCUGGUGCUGACUUACAUACCAAUUUAUAAGAGCCAGUAGUAACUUUGCAGGUAGGUUACUCAACUAUUAUUAGCUUGAAAUCUGCCAUGGUGGGAGUAUUUAUACCAGAGAAAUCAGUAAACACUACAAAUCAGAGUGUCCCGGUUUUGUUUUGUUGUGUUCCCCCCACCUUUUUUUCCCCCCUGCAGAGCUGUUUUACCACUAUAUUGCUGAUUAUGCAUACUGGGCUCUGUAAAUUUUAAGACACUUAGUCUCAUUUAUCAUUAGAAGUAGUAACGGUAACAGUAAUACUUUAUAUCCACAGAACUUAGCUUAGUGCAAAGCGCAGCUCCUAGCAUAUAUUUAAUUAGUAUAUUUUUAAUUUAACUUGGGUUCACCCUUGUAUUAUUUUGAUACUUCUGCCCUAAGCUAAAGGACCCCCCCCCAUCCUUAUCUCUUCAAAUCCCUCUCUACAAAGUGUCUUUUUAAAAUCAGAUAACAUUGGGCGCCUCGGUGGCUCAGUGGGUUGGGGUUUCUGCUUUCGGCUGGAGUCGUGGUCCCGGGGUCCUGGGAUCAAGCCCCGCAUUGGGCUCUCUGCUCAGCGGGGAGCCUGCUUCCCUUCUCUCCCCGCCUGCCUCUCUGCCUACUUGUGAUCUCUGUCAAGUAAACAUACAGAAUCUUAAAAAAAAAAAAAAAUCAGAUAACAUAAAUAAUAGCCGGGUACAGUGCAUAACACACUCAAUAAGACUCAAGCCCUCCCUGUCUAUAACUGAGCUAAUUACCUUCUUUCCAAACCUUUCUUUCUUGUGAUAUUUCAUAUCUCAGUUGAUGAUAUUGCCCAUCUAUCCAUUAUCCCAGGUAAGUUAUCCGAAAGUCUUCCUCUCUUUUCCCUUGUCCUUACCCAUACCCAAGUCUAAUCAAUCAUUAGAUCUUGCUUAUUCUGCCUCUUCAAUCUAUCCCCUCCUGCUCAUUACCACCGCUCCUGCCUUGGUUCGGGCCCUCAUCAUUCCCACUUGAAGUCUUCCUCCUAAGGGACACAUUGACUUUCGGUGUUUCCCCUUCAAUCCAACCUCUACUUCUAUAAAUGUAAUUUCAAAUUACAAAUUUGAGGGGUGCUCAAGUGGCCAGUCGGUUAAGUGUCUGCCUUUGGCUCAGGUCAUGAUCAGGGGUCCUGGGAUCAGCCCGGCAUUGCAUGAGGCUUCCUGCUCAGCGGGGAGUCUGUUCCCUUACCCCUCCCGCCAUGUGCAUGCACAUGUGUGCUCUUCCUCAAAUAAUAUCUUUACAAUAAAAUAAAUAAAUUAAUUAAAAGUUGGACCAAAUCACUCCUUCAAUUCAAAUUUCUUAAUGGCUGUCUGUUGUCUUGAGGAUAAAAUCCAAAAGCUUUAGUUUCUCAUCUGGGCCCACCACUUCCCAAUACUUUCUUCAAUGUCUAGUCCCACUUUUAUCUCAUUUACCCUCCAACCCAAGCAACAUUUCCUCUAUGACUUCUCUGGACGUAUUUUAUGUUUGUUUUUCUGAGCUCCUGUAGCACCUUGUUCAUAUCUGUGUACCAUAAAUCUAACCACAUGGCUCUUAUUGUCCAUUGGUCUUUCCCUCUAGAUUGUAAGUUCCUAUAGAGCAGAAGCCUAUGUACCAUUCAUUAAUUCC
rnacentral:lncRNA from 1 species